AAUUGAGUCGCAGAGAGUAAAGGGCCAUUUUUAGGUAGUAAGUGGUAGAAACCAGAUACUUACUGUCAUGAUAUUUCUUUCCACUCAACUGUGUUGCCUCCUAGAAAACGAGAAGAGGGCUUCAUAUAGCAUUCCAAUCCACACAACUACGAACUCCUGUGUCACCCACCUGGUAACUGAAUCUCCUCCCAACGUCCCUGCCCAGCCUCUGCUUUCACACCACCAGAAGAGGGGAGCUCAGUACUGCCCUGAACAACCUGUUUCCUCCUUGGUCAGCUCUGACUAUGGUGAGGUCUUAGAUUGAAUGAACCUCCACCCCUGUCACUUCUGUCAAGAGUCCAGAGGCUCUCUUUGAGGACCCCCAAGACUUCAUCACCCUUUCUCUCCUGGAUGCUCACCCAAGACCUGAUAACAGCUUUUAUACCCCCUUACUUCCAGGCCCUGUAUCGCAGUCCAGGGGGCACGGCAUGGAGGCCCCUGGCCUUCCUGCUGUCCCACCCUGGGACUGCCCCAGUGUGUCUAUACCCGUGGAAGACUGGCGCCCAGAAUAGCGUUCCUGCCCAGCGGGCUGAGAUGUCACGAAGUCUGACUCUUACAGAAACUGGGUCUUUGGGAACCUGCUCAAACAGCUGGAGCAGGAAGGACUGGCUCAGAAGAGGACAAGGCCACAGUGGAAACAGACUUUGUGAUUUCUGAGGCUGAGAGGAUGAGGAGGCCUCGUGGUGGCAGUGUGAUCAUUCAGAAGACACCUAUCCUCCUAGCUGCUGGACAGGGCCGCUGGGCUGGAGCCAGAGUGCCUGGAUCCUAUUCCCAACCAUGUUGAAAAACUCCUAUGACAUUAGACCCAUCAUAUCUCCUUUCUGGGCCUUAGUUUCCAUGUGUGGAUGAUGGCAUGGGGGCUCCUUCAGCCUCUGCAAGAGUCAGUAUGACAUAGUGGUGGGAAGUGAGAGCUCUUGGUGUGAAUCCAGCUCUGCCUCUCCUAGCUCUUUGACUGUAGGCCAUCUUGGUUUUCUCAUCUAUAAAUGGGAUAAUGACAAAGUGCUCCAUAUGCCUGGUCCUACUCAGUGUUCAAUACAUGCUGGUUGUUGUGGUGGACAUCUUGGGCUCAUCCCCCUCCAUAUUCUGAGAUUCUACUAGUGGGUGUGGGAGAAAUGGGG
rnacentral:lncRNA from 1 species